CCUAGUGACCUACUGCCGUUGCCUCGGCGGGCCGCGCUUACCCGGUAGCUACCCUGUAGCUACCCGGUAGCGCGUUACGGGCCCGCCGGUGGACUUCUCAACUCUGUUAUAUAUAUACGUAUCUCUGAAUGCUUCUAACUAAAUAAGUUAAAACUUUCAACAACGGAUCUCUUGGUUCUGGCAUCGAUGAAGAACGCAGCGAAAUGCGAUAAGUAAUGUGAAUUGCAGAAUUCAGUGAAUCAUCGAAUCUUUGAACGCACAUUGCGCCCAUUAGUAUUCUAGUGGGCAUGCCUGUUCGAGCGUCAUUUCAACCCUUAAGCCCUGUUGCUUAGUGUUGGGAUUCUAGGCCCCCAGGGCCCUAGUUCCUCAAAGUGAUCGGCGGAGUCGGCGUAUACUCUGAGCGUAGUAGUGUUCUUCUCGCUUUUGUAGUAGCCCCGGCGGCUUGCCGUAAAACCCCUAUAUCUUAGUGGUUGACCUCGAAUCAGGUAGGAAUACCCGCUGAACUUAAGCAUAUCAAUAAGCGGAGGAA
rnacentral:rRNA from 1 species